rnacentral:rRNA from 1 species
UGCGACCCAUGGUCAGGCGGGAACACCCGCUGAUUUAAGCAUAUCAAUAGCGGCAGGAAAAGAAAAACUUACCAAGGGGAUUCCCUAGUAACGGCGGAUGCGAACCGGGAAGAGCCCAGCUUUGAGGAAUCGGGCGCCCUCGGUUCCGAAUUGUAGUCUGGGAGAAAGCGUCCCUCGGUCACGGCGGACCGGGCCCCCAAGUCCCCGGAAAGGGGGCGCCGAGAGGGUGAGAGCCCCGUCGUGCCAGGGAUCCACCCUGUCGCACCACGAGGCGCUGUCAUGCGAGUCCGGGUUUGUUGUUGGGACGAUGCAGCCCAAUCGGGCGGUAAAUUCGCGUCCAAGGCUAAAUACGUGCGAGAGACCGAUAGCGAACAAGCUACCGCGCGAGGAAAGAUGAAAGGACUUUGAAAAGAGAGUCGCAAGAGUGCUUGAAAAAUUGGUCGGAGGGAGAAGCGGAAUGGGGGCCGGCGAUGCGCCGUCCGGUCGGAUGUGGAACGGCGACACAGCCGGUCCGCGAUCGGCGCUCGGGACCGCGGACCGACGCGGAUCGCGGCGGGCGGCCGCGCAAGCCCGGGCACUAGAAACGCCCGCGGAACGCCGUCGGCUAGCGAGUCGUGGACAUCGAGCGCGCGCGUCACGGCGUGCCGCCGGCACCGCGCGCGCUCCUGGCGUCGGCCAGGCGGGCUCCCAUGUCGGCCCGUCUUGAAACACGGAACCAGGAGUCUGACAUGUGGUGCGAGUCAACGGGCGAGUAAACUCCGUAAAGGCGCAAGGAAGCUGACUGGGCGGGAUCCCCUCGAGGGUUGCACCGCGACCGACCUCGAUCUUCUGAGAAGGGUUCGAGUGAGAGCAUCGCCUGUCGGGACCCGAAAAGAUGGUGAACCUAUGCCUGAGCGGGGCGAAGCCGAGGAAACUCUGGUGGAGGCCCGCAGCGAUAACUGACUUCGCGUGCAAAAUCGUUCGUCUGACUUGGGUAUAGGGGCGAAAGACUAAUCGAACCGUCUAGUAGCUGGUUCCCUCCGAAGGUUUCCCUCAGGAUAGCUGGAGCUACGGGGACGAGUUCUAAUCGGGUAAAGCCAAUGAAUUAGAGGCAUCGGGGGCGCAAACGCCCUCCGACCUAUUUCUCAAACUUUAAAUAAGGUAGGACACGGCCCGGCUAUGUUCGCUGAGCGCGCCACGGAAUCGAGAGCUCCAACGUGGGACCAUUUUUUGGUAAAGCAGAACUGGCGAUGCGGGAUGAGAACCGGAGAGCCGGGUUUACGGUGCCAUCAGCUGGCGCGCUAACCCAGCAAACCACAGAAGGUGUUGGUCGAUUCAGACAGCAGGACGGUGGUCAUGAAGUCGAAAUCCGCCUAAGGGUGUGUAACAACUCACGCUGCCGAAUCAACUAGCCGCCGAGAAAAUGGAUGGCGCUUAAGCGCAGCGAUCACUAUACCCGGCCGUCGGGGCAAGAAAGCCCAGGCCCCGAUGAGUAGGAGGGCGGCGGCGGCCGCUAGCAAAACCCGGGGCGCGACGCCGGGCGAGCGGCCGUCGGUGCAGAUCUUGGUGUGAGUAGAAAUAUUCAAAAUGAGAACUUUGAAGGCCGAAGAGGGGAAAGGUGUCAUGUGAACGGCACGUUUGCACAUGGGUUAGUCGAUUCCUAAGAGACGGGGGAAGCCCGUCCGACAGCUGCGUCCGCCAGCGCAGGAGCUUCGAAAGGGAAUCGGGUUAAAAUUCCCGAACCGGGAACGCGACGGCGUGACGGGCAUAAGUUUAGGGAGUCCGGAGACGUCGGCGGGGCCUCGGGACAGAGUUAUCUUUUCUGUUUAACAGCCCCCACCCUGGAAGACGACUCAGUCGGAGGUAGGGUCCAGGCGGCCGGAAGAGCAGCGCGCACGUCCGCGGUGUCCGGUCGCCCUCCGGCGGCCCGUGAAAAUCCGGAGGACCGAGUGCCUCCGCGCACCGGUCGUACUCAUAACCGCAUCAGGUCUCCAAAGGUGAACAGCCUCUGGCCAAAUUGGAACAAUGUAGGCAGGGAAAGUCGGCAAAACGCGAUGACCGUAACCUGCGGGAAAAGAUUGGGCUUCUGAGGCUGGGCCCGGGGGUCCCCAGUCCGAACCCGUCGGCUGUCGGCGGACUGCUCGAGCUGCUCCCGCGCGCGAGAAAGCGGGGUCGCCGCGUUGCCCGGCCGGGGGACGACUGGGAAGGCCCCUCCGGGGGCCUUCCCCGGGCUCGAAAGCAGUCGACUCAGAACUGGUAGGACAAGGGGAAUCCCGACUGUUUAAUUAAAACAAAGCAUUGCGAUGGUUCCAUGCGAUGCUCACGCAUAGUUGUGAUUUCUGCCCAGUGCUCUGAAUGUCAAAGUGAAGAAAAAUUUCAACAAGCGCGGGUAAGACGCGGCGAAGUAAACUAUGACUCUCUUAAGGUAGCCAAAAUUGGCCGUCGUCAUCUAAUUUAGUGACGCGCAUGAUGGGUUAAACGAAUUCCCACUGUUCCCUGUCUACUAUCCAGCGAAACACAGCCAAGGGAACGGGCUUGGCGGAAUCAGCGGGGAAAGAAGACCCUGUUGAGCUUGACUCUAGUCCGACUUUGUGAAAUGAACUUGAGAGUGUAGGAUAAGUGGGAGCCGGAAACGGCGAACGGUGAAUACCCCACUACUUUUAACGUUUAUUUACCUUACUUCGCCGUGAAUCGGAGGCGGGGCCCUCGCCGCCUCUUUUGGACCCAAGGCCGCCAGCGGCGGCCGAAUCGGGCAGGAAGACAUUGUCAGGUGGGAGAGUUUUUGGCUGGAGGGCGGCACAUCUGAUUAAAAAGAUAACGCAGGUGUCCUAAGAUGAGCUUCAAACGAGAACAGAAAUUCGUGUGGAAACAAAGGGUAAAGCUCGUUUGGAUUCUGAUUUUUCCAGUACGAAUAGCGAACGCGUGAAAGCGUGGCCUAUCGAUCCUUUUAGACCUUGCGGAAUUUGAAGCUAGAGGUGUCAGAAAAGUACCACAGGGAUAACUGGCUUGGUGCAGGCCAAAGCGUCAUAGCGAAGUUGCUUUUUUGAUGCCUUCGAUGUCGGUCUUCCUAUCAUUGUGGAAGCAGAAUUCACACAAGUGUUGGAUUGUCCACCCACGCAAUGGAACGUGAGCUGGGUUUAGAUCGUCGUGAGACCCAGGUUAGUUUUACCUACUGAGACCGCGUCGCGAUGGUAAUUCAUAGUACGAGAGGAACCGUUGAAUUCGCACAAAUUGGUCAUCGGGCGCUUAUGGGUUGAAAAGCCAGUGGCGCGAAGCUACGUGCGCUGGAUUAGUGACUUGAAACGCCUCUAAGUCAGAAUCCGGGCCAGAAGCGACGCCCUGUCGGCGCCCGCGUUGCCGACCGCGCAGAGGGGCCCUCACUGGCCCUCCAGAGACACGUGCCGUUGGCCAAGCCCCCCGCGGCGGACGAGCCGCGCCG